rnacentral:misc_RNA from 1 species
CGCAUAUUGCGCCCUUUGGUAUUCCGAGGGGCAUGCCUGCUCGAGCGUCAUUGCAACCCUCAAGCCUUGCUUGGUAUUGGGCGUCGCUCUCUUAACAAAGGGCGUGCCUGAAAAGAAUCGGCGGUCCAGCGUGACUUUGAGUGUAGUAAAAACCUUUUUCCUUGCUCUGAAGGUUUCAUGCUUGGGCUGGCCGGAAUCUUUGAUUCCACCAAAAAUUGACCUCGGAUCAGGUAGGGAUACCCGCUGAACUUAA